AGAGUUUGAUCAUGGCUCAGGACGAACGCUGGCGGCGUGCUUAACACAUGCAAGUCAAGGAGAAUGGGAAUCUUCGGAAUCCCUAGUAAACUGGCGCACGGGUGAGUAACGCGUAGGUAACCUGCCCUCGAGUGGGGAAUAACAUCGGGAAACCGGUGCUAAUACCGCAUAAUAUCUUUCUUUCGCAUGUUUGGAAGAUCAAAGACUUGUCGCUUGAGGAUGGACCUGCGUCUUAUUAGCUAGUUGGUGAGGUAAUGGCUCACCAAGGCAACGAUGGGUAACUGGUCUGAGAGGAUGAUCAGUCACACUGGCACUGAGACACGGGCCAGACUCCUACGGGAGGCAGCAGUGAGGAAUAUUGGUCAAUGGGCGAAAGCCUGAACCAGCAACGCCGCGUGAGUGAUGAAGCACUGAGGUGUGUAAAGCUCUGUUAGGAGGGAAGAAAAGCCAACUCGUUGGCCUUGACGGUACCUCCAGAGAAAGCUCCGGCUAACUCCGUGCCAGCAGCCGCGGUAAUACGGGGGGAGCAAGCGUUGUCCGGAUUUACUGGGCGUAAAGGGAGUGUAGGUGGGGUGGUAAGUCAGUGGUGAAAUGUUACAGCUUAACUGUAAACCUGCUUCUGAUACUGCCACUCUUGAGUGCGGAAGAGGAAAGCGGAAUUCCUGGUGUAGCGGUGAAAUGCGUAGAUAUCAGGAGGAACACCGGUGGCGAAGGCGGCUUCCUGGACCAAUACUGACGCUGAGGCGCGAAGGCGUGGGGAGCAAACAGGAUUAGAUACCCUAGUAGUCC
rnacentral:rRNA from 1 species